rnacentral:rRNA from 1 species
AACGAACGCUGGCGGCAUGCCUAACACAUGCAAGUCGAACGAUGCCUUCGGGCAUAGUGGCGCACGGGUGCGUAACGCGUGGGAAUCUGCCUUUCGGUUCGGAAUAACUCAGGGAAACUUGAGCUAAUACCGGAUAACGUCGCAAGACCAAAGAUUUAUCACCGAAAGAUGAGCCCGCGUAGGAUUAGCUAGUUGGUGAGGUAAAGGCUCACCAAGGCGACGAUCCUUAGCUGGUCUGAGAGGAUGAUCAGCCACACUGGGACUGAGACACGGCCCAGACUCCUACGGGAGGCAGCAGUGGGGAAUAUUGGACAAUGGGCGAAAGCCUGAUCGAGCAAUGCCGCGUGAGUGAUGAAGGCCUUAGGGUUGUAAAGCUCUUUUACCCGGGAAGAUAAUGACGGUACCGGGAGAAUAAGCCCCGGCUAACUCCGUG